GGUCAAGUUAUUAAGGGUGCAGGGCGGAUGCCUUGGCACUAGGAGCCGAUGAAGGACGUGAUAAGCUGCGAUAAGCUUCGGGGAGUUGCACGUAAACUUUGAUCCGAAGAUUUCCGAAUGAGGAAACUCACUUAGAGUAAUGUCUAAGUAUCAUUAAGUGAAUACAUAGCUUAAUGAGGGGAACUCAGGGAACUGAAACAUCUAAGUACCUGAAGGAAGAGAAAGAAAUUCGAUUCCGUAAGUAGCGGCGAGCGAACGCGGAUUAGCCCAAACCAAUAAAGUUUUCUUUAUUGGGGUUGCGGACAUAUCAUAACGAAGAGGUAUCGUAAUUGAAGAGGUUUGGAAAGACCUACCACAGAAGGUAAUAGUCCUGUAUGUUAAACGAGAAGACUUUAGAUAUGAUCCAGAGUACCACGGGACACGUGAAACCCUGUGGGAAGCAGGAGGGACCACCCUCCAAGGCUAAAUACUACCUAGUGACCGAUAGCGUAUAGUACCGUGAGGGAAAGGUGAAAAGAACCCCGGGAGGGGAGUGAAAUAGAACCUGAAACCCUGCACUUACAAGCUGUGGAAGCACAUUUCUUGUGUGACCGCGUACUUUUUGUAGAACGGGCCAACGAGUUACGUUAAGUAGCAAGGUUAAGCACUUAAGGUG
rnacentral:rRNA from 1 species